CUCUAGCCCAGAUAGCAGUGGAAAUCCUUUUUUUAGGCUUUUCGCCUCAAAAAAGAUUGUAACGAAUAGCUGGAAAUAGC
rnacentral:sRNA from 1 species